GCUGCAUGCCUGUAGUCCCAACUACUUGGGAGGCUGAGGUGGGAGCAUUACUUGAGCCCAGGGGUGGGAGUUGGAGGCCAGCCUGGGCAAUAUAGUGAGAAUCCUGACUUAA
rnacentral:sRNA from 1 species